rnacentral:lncRNA from 1 species
CUACUUACUUUCCCAAAUAAGCAUAAGAAGAAAAAAGACCAAAAGCCAUUACAAGAAGAUGUAGCUGAAAUUCAACAUGCUGAAGAAUUUCUUAUUAAACCAGAAUUCAAAGUGGCUUAAUUGGACCCUUCUCAAUGGCCCUUAUUACUAAAGAAUUUUGAUAAGUUAAUGUAAGGACAAUGCAUUACACACUUAUUCCUUGUGGCUCAAAUCCUCUAAAGAGGGAAAGCCACAGGUUUCUUUAAUCUUGACAAGCCCUCUAACCCCUCCUUCCAUGAUGUAGUAGCCUGGAUCCGAUGAAUUCUUUGGGUAAAGAGGACGACAGGCCACAGUGGCACACUGAAUCCCAAAGUGACUGGUUGUUUAAUUGUGUGCACUGAACAAGCCAUUCACUUGGUGAAAUCACAACAGUGUACAGGCAAAGAAUAUGUUGGAAUUGUCCUGCUAUUGAAGUGGAUACUCAGCUUUCUCAGGCCCUAGACUGACAGGUGCCCUGUUACAAUAACCCCACUUACUGCUGCUAUAAAGAGACAGCUAUCUAUGAGAUCAAAAUGGUGGAAUAUGAACCUGAAAGAAGAUUUGGAAUCUUUUGGGUGCUCUGUAAAGCUGGCACCUACAUUCAAAUGCUAUGUUUAUACCUUGUCUUGUUACUGGAAAUCAAUGGUCAGAUACAGGAACUUUGGAGAGUGUGUUCUGGAGUCCUGAGUGAAAAGGACCACAUGGUGACAAUGUGUGAUGUACUUGAUACUCAGUGGCUGUAUGAUAACCAACAGGAACAGAAUUACUUUCAGGGAGUAUUGUGUACCCAUUGGAAAAGCCAUUGAUAUCUCAUAAAUGUUUGGUUAUGAAAUACAGUGCAGUGAAUGCAAUCUGCUAUGGGACCAAGAUCAUGCAUCCUUGUGUUUUUCAAGAUGAGUUCAUGGCAUUGAGGUCAACCAGAAGGUUGUGGUCACUACCACUUAGGGGAAGGUAUCUGCAGGGCUACUAUAUUGAUGACUACAGUAGUGAUUUCUACCUGUGAUCAUGGUAUAGUAGCUAGGAUUAAAAAGGGGUGAUUAUGGAAAGAGAUCCUUAUCUUCACAAGUGGAGUUUAGGUCCAAAGACAACUCAGAGGAUGGUGAUCAAGCAGGCCUUCCUGGACAAGCAUGGCAAACCCACAGACAAUAUCCUUGUCACCUGGAAGCAGGAGUGCAUUGACUAUUGUAAUUCUGGCAAGAAAGCACUGGUUACUGAAGUGGUACAAGCCCCUCAGCAGCUGAAGCAGUAAAAUCCAUAUAAAGGAAGCAGGAUAGUGAGAGUGGAAGUGAUAAGACCCCAGCAGGACUUUCCCAGUUGAAAAACAGAAGAAUAAGGAGGAUUAAAAUGCCCAAAACUCUGUUAGAACGUGGGAGCAAGGCUGGAGAUGGGGGCAGUGACACACUACCAAAAAGAAAAAGUAGAAGAAACUAAAAGUGCUGGAAGAGAUGUCUGAAUAG